rnacentral:lncRNA from 1 species
UAAUAUUUUUUAAAAACUACAAUGCAAUUUAAAAACAUUUCAAUUAUUAUGUUAUUAUUCUCCCUACACAAGUUACAUGAUCACUUUAAAAGGAACAAUUACAUUUGCUCGAUCAAAUUGGAUCUACUAAAGCCAUGCUCAAUACCAAAAUCCCAACAGCUCACAUAAAUCAGCAACAGCACUUGAACCUGAAGGCAUAACCAUGCAAACUAUUAGCAAGUUGAAUCCGCAGGCACGACAGAAAAUUGCAUAAACACUACUCCAAUAUCUUAGCGACUGAAUCUAAUGCCAUAGGUUUCAGAAAAGAAAAUAUUAAAUAGUAUUUAAUUAGGCCAAUUCACCCAUUCUAAUUUCAUCAUGCAUGAUAAUUAUUAAUUACUAUGUAAUGCUUAACAACUUUUUUAUUUGUGUAGUAAAUUGUUAAACUGGCUCAUCAUAAAAUUAGCUAACAAUAUAAGUUGCUUUGAGAUGAAGUAUCAUACUUUUACUGUUGGGAAAUCAAUUUCUUUUAAUUAAAUUAUCAUAUGCCCUAAUUUGAAAAUUUUAAGAGAAAACCCUCUUAAUCACUUGUUUUAUUCUUUAUCAAAAACUGCGUCUUGAAAAAAAAUAAAAUUAAAUCUUCAUGCUGUUGCAAUAUUCAACACUAAUUAGACAAUCACAAUAAGAAAUAUAUAUGCCAAAAAUCGCAACAAAAAAUCCUGUAACGACUGUCAAUAUUGAAGACAAUUACGUAAUUAAACAAGCCAAUAUUACAAUUCAUAUACCAUAAUUUUUAAUAAAAAGUAAACAAAUUAAGACCUUAAAGUAUAAUGUAAAAAAGCGUGAAUAAAAUUUAUCAUAAACAAAGAGCAAGGUAAAAGCUAGCUCACAUGAGGAGCCAAUGAAGAAAGCCAAACAAGAGGAAGAAAACAAUCUUUGAUCAGAUGAAAUUAGCUCUCGAGCCAUCUGGACCAUUUGCUAAAAUUAUUCAAAAAAAUCUGGGGAGAAGAAUUAAAAGCGCAAACCCAAAACUAAUAAAUUACCUAUAUAUAUGAAUUUCAGUUUAUUUAUUUUUGGAGAUGAUUGCUCAGCAAGCGACGAAAGCAAAUGGC